rnacentral:rRNA from 1 species
AGAGUUUGAUCCUGGCUCAGGAUGAACGCUGGCGGCGUGCUUAACACAUGCAAGUCGAACAAACCUUCGGGUUAGUGGCGGACGGGUGAGUAACGCGUGAGAAUCUGCCCUCAGGAGGGGGAUAACGGCUGGAAACGGCCGCUAAUACCCCAUAUGCCGAGAGGUGAAAUGAAUUUCGCCUGAGGAUGAGCUCGCGUCUGAUUAGCUAGUUGGUGGGGUAAGAGCUUACCAAGGCUUCGAUCAGUAGCUGGUCUGAGAGGAUGAUCAGCCACACUGGGACUGAGACACGGCCCAGACUCCUACGGGAGGCAGCAGUGGGGAAUUUUCCGCAAUGGGCGAAAGCCUGACGGAGCAACGCCGCGUGAGGGAUGAAGGCCUCUGGGCUGUAAACCUCUUUUCUCAAGGAAGAAGAUCUGACGGUACUUGAGGAAUAAGCCACGGCUAAUUCCGUGCCAGCAGCCGCGGUAAUACGGGAGUGGCAAGCGUUAUCCGGAAUUAUUGGGCGUAAAGCGUCCGCAGGCGGCCUUGAAAGUCUGCUGUUAAAGCGUGGAGCUUAACUCCAUUUCAGCAGUGGAAACUACAAGGCUAGAGUGUGGUAGGGGCAGAGGGAAUUCCCGGUGUAGCGGUGAAAUGCGUAGAUAUCGGGAAGAACACCAGUGGCGAAGGCGCUCUGCUGGGCCAUAACUGACGCUCAUGGACGAAAGCCAGGGGAGCGAAAGGGAUUAGAUACCCCUGUAGUCCUGGCCGUAAACGAUGAACACUAGGUGUCGGGGGAAUCGACCCCUCCGGUGUCGUAGCCAACGCGUUAAGUGUUCCGCCUGGGGAGUACGCACGCAAGUGUGAAACUCAAAGGAAUUGACGGGGGCCCGCACAAGCGGUGGAGUAUGUGGUUUAAUUCGAUGCAACGCGAAGAACCUUACCAGGGUUUGACAUCCUGCGAAUCCCUUGGAAACGAGGGAGUGCCUUCGGGAGCGCAGUGACAGGUGGUGCAUGGCUGUCGUCAGCUCGUGUCGUGAGAUGUUGGGUUAAGUCCCGCAACGAGCGCAACCCACGUCUUUAGUUGCCAGCAUUGAGUUGGGCACUCUAGAGAGACCGCCGGUGAUAAACCGGAGGAAGGUGUGGAUGACGUCAAGCCAUCAUGCCCCUUACAUCCUGGGCUACACACGUACUACAAUGCUACGGACAAAGGGCAGCAAACUCGCGAGAGCUAGCAAAUCCCAUAAACCGUGGCUCAGUUCAGAUCGUAGGCUGCAACUCGCCUACGUGAAGGAGGAAUCGCUAGUAAUCGCAGGUCAGCAUACUGCGGUGAAUACGUUCCCGGGCCUUGUACACACCGCCCGUCACACCAUGGAAGUUGGCCACGCCCGAAGUCGUUACUCCAACCCGCAAGGGAGGAGGAUGCCGAAGGUGGGGCUGAUGACUGGGGUGAAGUCGGAACAAGGUA